rnacentral:lncRNA from 1 species
GGAGCCACUCGCCACGUCGCCGGCCAUGGCCCUCGCUGGCCAUGGCGUGGCUUUGACUGGCCGGACCCCUCUCUGACCCAUGGGGCCCGGUAGUCAGGCUGUUAGGUUUAGAUUUUCUGAAAAAUCUUGUUUAUUUCAGCUGAAAACUUGUAAAAUGCAUAACAAAUCAAGGAAAAAUUCUAAAAACACAAAAUUAGUUUUGUUUGGUUGUUUAGAUCUAGAUCUACAGAGGAAAAAUGUUCAUGCUUGUGUAAUGUCGUUUUGC